rnacentral:lncRNA from 1 species
UGGGCAGUUAACGAGGAGAUGGUACCAUAUAAUAGCUGCGUAGAAAUGGGGCUUCUCAACCUGUAAAUAUUGUUUGUUUUCACUGAUGAGAUUUUGAUUAUAUUUGAUGAGGAAGUCAGGGUAGAAGUGGGUAGGCAGGAUCAUCUGCGCAUCCAAUAGCGGACUACCAAGUGCUAUAAUCACCAAAAACACAAAGUUGAUUGCAUCUACUAUCUUUAUCAAAACCCCCAUUUUUUCCCUCUCUUAUGGAUCUCUGCUAUACUCUAUCUAUGUGUACGUGUAUGUGUUUUAAUUUGUCAAUGCAAUGAAUUUUUAUAGUUUGGA